rnacentral:piRNA from 1 species
UAGAUAUUAUAAAUCUUCAGCUAUAGAAA